rnacentral:rRNA from 1 species
UACGUAGGGUGCGAGCGUUGUCCGGAAUUAUUGGGCGUAAAGGGCUCGUAGGCGGUUUGUCGCGUCUGCUGUGAAAACUCGGGGCUUAACCCCGGGCCUGCAGUGGGUACGGGCAGACUAGAGUGCGGUAGGGGAGACUGGAAUUCCUGGUGUAGCGGUGAAAUGCGCAGAUAUCAGGAGGAACACCGGUGGCGAAGGCGGGUCUCUGGGCCGAUACUGACGCUGAGGAGCGAAAGCGUGGGGAGCGAACAGG